rnacentral:piRNA from 1 species
UCAAAACUAGUUGUGGCAGAGGGACC